GGGGGGGGGGGGGAAAUUGCCCUGGGCCCCCACCAUAAUAGGCCCCCAACUUGAGAGCAAGACCCUAAAAUUGAGUAGGUUCUAUGAAGAGCAUUUUUGAAAUUGAGGGCUACUUACAAUACUGUACCUCCACAUGCAGUCUAGCUAAGGUUUAGUUGGGUCUAGCUUAAUAACAAUACUGUCAUGGGGCCCCCAGGGAAGGUUUGCCUCGGGCCGCGAAAAUUCUCUAUGCUGCCCUGUGUACAGUAUAGCUAGCUAUAUUAAUUAUACAUAUACAACAACAACAUAUGUAUAUAUCAAUAUUAACUAAAAUCACUUCAUUAGACAGUACGGUAUAGUAACAACUAAAUUCAGUUUUAAGAGUUUCUUCUGCCCUAUAACAGACAGACUAUUGCUUUAGGUAAUUUUCCCACGACAAUGCAUUUGGACCCAGUAACAUGCAGACCACUGCAGAUAAACCAGUCCCACAGCAGCGAUGUAAUACAUCAAAAUAGUUUAUCUUCACAAAACAUUACAUGGUACUGAUUAUAUACCUUCUUGUAUAGCUGUGCUAAUGUCAAUCUCUGACCCCUCUAUGAACCCCUCUAUGAACCCUCUGAACCCUCUAUGAUUAAACCCGGUUCUUUUGUUCUUUUGUGUUUGAUGUACUACAGCAUGCAAAGGUGAUAUAUCAUUUGGUUUACAACUAUCUAAAAGAAUGGAAAAAAAUAUAAGAACAGACACCAUUAAAAUGAUUACAGUUUUUACUACCAAUCAAAGAUGGAGAACACGAGAGAGUC
rnacentral:lncRNA from 1 species